AUUGAACGCUGGCGGCAGGCUUAACACAUGCAAGUCGAGCGGGGAAAGGUAGCUUGCUACCUGACCUAGCGGCGGACGGGUGAGUAAUGCUUAGGAAUCUGCCUAUUAGUGGGGGACAACAUUCCGAAAGGAAUGCUUAUACCACAUACGCCCUACGGGGGAAAGCAGGGGAUCUUCGGACUUUUCGCUAAAAGAUGAGUCUACGUCAGAUUAGCUAGUUGGUGGGGUAAAGGCCUACCAAGGCGACGAUCUGUAGCGGGUCUGAGAGGAUGAUCCGCCACACUGGGACUGAGACACGGCCCAGACUCCUACGGGAGGCAGCAGUGGGGAAUAUUGGACAAUGGGCGAAAGCCUGAUCCAGCCAUGCCGCGUGUGUGAAGAAGGCCUUUUGGUUGUAAAGCACUUUUAGCGAGGAGGAGGCUACUUGGAUUAAUACUCUAGGAUAGUGGACGUUACUCGCAGAAUAAGCACCGGCUAACUCUGUGCCAGCCGCCGCAGUAAUAC
rnacentral:rRNA from 1 species